UACGUAGGGUGCGAGCGUUAAUCGGAAUUACUGGGCGUAAAGCGUGCGCAGGCGGUUUUGUAAGCCAGAUGUGAAAUCCCCGGGCUUAACCUGGGAAUGGCAUUUGGGACUGCAAGGCUCGAGUGCGGCAGAGGAGACUGGAAUUCCUGGUGUAGCAGUGAAAUGCGUAGAUAUCAGGAGGAACACCUAUGGCGAAGGCAGCUCGCUGGGACGUUACUGACGCUGAGACGCGAAAGCGUGGGGAGCAAACAGG
rnacentral:rRNA from 1 species